AUGCCGUUUGACAGCCCCGCCGCAGCCCGUGGCCGCGCCGCAUGGCGGGGACGUGGCGGGGGCUGCGCGCCCGGCUCAGCUCCGCGGGGCCGGGGAAACCCUGGCGUGGCCACAGCCCUUGGCCACCAGCACCCUGCCCUCGAUCACCCGCUCCUGCCAAGCUCAAUCGUGGUCACCAGUUUUGGCUCCUGGGUCAGCCUCUGUCCUCCCUGUGUCCCCCCCAACCCUGUCCAGCAGCGGGGCAGCACCGCUGGAUUCAUCGUUAGUGCGUUUUUCCCACCCAGCACCCAACAGCACAGAGGUUUGCUGCCAACGCUCCCGGGCUCCUUGCUGCUGGAUGCAACGUGGGGGCGAUGCUGGCAGGAGGCUCGGGUGGCAGCACCCAUACAAUCCCCGUUGCUCCUGCCCAGGGGUCCCAAAGCACCCCGAGAGCCAGCUCUCCGCGCUCUUCUUCAUCCCUGCAGCCCCCAGCCCCGUGCCCGCAGCAGGCGCUGCUCGGCGGCACCCAUGGGAGCUCCCCAGGCCAGCAGCCGGGGCUACCCGCGGCGCCAACCCCAACCACGUUUCUUGCGAGAUCGGCUUUUUUUUUUUUUUACAACUUUUUGCGUGAGACGCGAAGGCGCCCAGCCCCUGCGCCGACACAAUGGGGUUAUGGCGAGCGGGGCCCGGGCGGGGAGCAGCCCCCGGCAGCCCGGGGAGGGCAGCGCGUUGUGGGUAACGAUAUGCAAAUCGCCAUGCAGCACCGCCACCCGUGAUUGCUUUCCCCCCCGCCACAGGGAACCGCUUCCAGCUCUCCCCGCAACGCCUGCGGGGAAACCCGUGCCCGAGGCCGGGGCGAUGCGCGCAGCCGACGUCGUCCCCGCGUGCUCGAGGUCCCAGUUUGGGGCUGGCCAAGGGCCUCCAUCGCUGGGGAGCCUCCCAGGCUGGUGCAGCCUCGCCCUCCGGAGGCUCACUCAUCUUGAUUUAAAGAUAUUUCCCUUUCCUUUUUUCAAAUGUAAAUGGCAGCCAGAGAAACGCGCGGCGGCGAUUAGACACAGGAGAGUGGAGGUAACCUCGUCCGGGCUCGCCCGCGCUCCCACAGGAGACAACUGCUCUGUUACCUGGGGCAACGGUGGAAAAAUUAUGGCUGGCAUCUAA
rnacentral:lncRNA from 1 species